UCCCUGGUGGCUCAGACAGUAAAGAAUCUGCUUGAAAUGCAGAAAGCCUGGGUUCAAUCCCUGGGUUGGGAA
rnacentral:tRNA from 1 species